UACUCGCUCACUUCCGAUCGUUUGGAUCGGGAGCGGUGGACUUGGGUGUUGCUGCUUACCGUGGCUCACCUCAAAUGCAGUAGUGCACCUUUCGGUUGGACAUAGUACGGCGUGAUAAGUGUCUUCGCCGGCACCUCACUGAGGGUGGCCGAUCGGGAGCUCUGUGCUUCCAAUCGNCNNNGGACAAUCACUGACA
rnacentral:misc_RNA from 1 species